UGGCUAGGGGUCAAAUUGGAGCUGUAGAUGCUGGCCUAUGCCAAAGCCACAGCCACACCAGAUCCGAGCAGUGUCUGCAACCUACACCACAGCUCAGGGCAUUACCAGAUCCUUAACCCCCGAUACCCAUGAGGACAUGGGUUCAAACCCUGGCCUUGCCCAGUGCAUUAAAGAUUGGGCAUUGCUCUAAGCUGUGAUGUAGGUUGCUGACAGACACAGCUUGGAUCCUACAUUGCUGUGGUUGUUGCACAGGCCAGCAGCUAUAGCUCUGAUUCAACUCCUAGCCUGGGAAGUUUGAUAUGCCAUGGGUGCUGCCCUAAAAAUACCAAAAAAAAAAAAAAUUAAAUUCAAGCUUGCUUCUGGUAAAAAACUAAACAAUUUAGAUAAAUCCUUAGCAUUAGUUACUUCUUUACAUUGUGAAUUUUUUUCUCAAAUUUUUAUACUAAAAUCCUUCAUUUAGUUGCCAAAGAAUUUAAUAUUUCAUUCCUAAAGGAAUUGAUCAACCAUUCUGAAAACCUGAGUCAUCAUUUUUCUCACCAUCCCUUUUAGCAGCUCUUGUCCAAUCACCAGAUCCUAUCAAUGCCUCUACUCCUAAUGUUAAUGCAUAGAAUCCUAAGUAAUCUAAGUACUUGCAUCCUCUAACGUCUAUCAUCCAUCUUUACACUUCUAGAGUUAUCUUCUUAAAAAAAAAAAAAGGCUCAAGGAAUUUCCCUCACCUUCUCAAAAAUCCUGGGUGCUUUACUGAAAUAAGCCCAAACUCUAGCAUAGCAUUUAAAGUUUUUCAUAGUACAUCACUAAACUACCAUUCACAGUAAUUAAAUUGAAUGUAAGAUAUCCAGUAACUGCCUGCUAUGAUUCACACUCUACACUAGUGGGUUGGUAGUUGGGAUAAAGAUGAACCAGACAAUAGUCCCCAUUCUCAAAAAAGUCUGCGUAGUGAAGAGGCAGAGAAGUAAACCAAAAAUUGUAGUGAGUACAAAAAGGAUAACUAACCACAGUGUACUAACCGAAUUCAGUGACAAGCUCAAAACUCAAUGAGGAGAAAAGUGAAAGUAAUAUGUUGGUCCUCUGCUUCCGAAAACAGUGGAGUAGCAGAAACAGGACUUAGCCCUAAACACUAAAAACUAGACAAAAUAAUGGUUUAUAAACACUGGACAACAGGCAGCACAUUGCAAGGUCAGCCCCAUAACUGCUAUAGCUUACUGCCUAGAGAAAGUUACCAGACCACAUCUCAGGGAAGAAGAACGUGAACAGAGCCUGCCUUGCCCAGGGCCACACUGCUAAUAUGGAAUAGAUCUGGGCCUCAGACAGAGAGUCUUUCUGACUACCAAGUCCAAGAGGUUUUGCUUUUUACUUCUCUACCACCUUUAAAUAAUUGCUAGACUAUUCACUUAGCCUAGAAAUCAACUCAUCCCUACCCCUCCAUUUUCCUUGCCCUACAGAAAUCAUGUUUCAAGGUUUCAGUUAAAUCAUUACUUCACCCAAGAAAACUCUAAUUCCAUUGCCCCCAACCACAGUAAAAGUUGGUGUUAUCAUCCUCUUUAAUACUAUAGUACUAUGUUUUUAUUAUUUAUGUGGCAUUAAUUUUAUUCUGCUUUAUCUAAUAAUUAUAUUAAUGUUAACCAACAUUUAUUGAGAGCUUAUUACGUUAUUGCUCUAAAUGCUGUACAUGAACCCAAUCAUUUAAUCCUCAUGAAAAUCUUAAAUAGUAUUAUUUUCAGCCUCAUUUUGUAGGUAAGGAAACUGAAACACAGAAUAAAUAACUUGCCUAAAGUUACACGACUAGUAAGUUUCAGAGCAGAAAUUGAAACCAAAUAAUCUGGCUCCAAAGUCCUUGCACAUAACCUAGUUGUUUCCUGUCUGAAUAGCCUGCUAGACUUCUUGAAUAGAGACAGUUCAUCUAAGUAAUCUUGCUAUUGGUUCAUCUCACACCCACCCAGAACUACGUUUUUUAUCUAGCAGAUACUCUUCUGUUGUUUUCCAUAUGAAUGGAUGAACAAAGGAGCACUAAGAGGUUUGGAGGAGUAACGACUAGGACUCUGGGAAUCUCUAAGCUGUGACAAAAAUGUAUCUACAAUUCUUUGAGAGAAAUUAUUCUCUAUACUUGCAGCUCCUCAGAAAUUUCAUCCAUAAGCAACUAAAGCUUUCACAUGCUCCAGUAAAGAAGUCUUACUUCACCCUUAGCAAAUUUCAAUAUUGGCAAAUUAUAGAUAUAUUUUUAUGUUUAUUUUUAAAUUAUUAAGAGACAUAUUUUACAACUUAUUCUAGGCAUACUAAUAUAAUUAUUAGAUAAAGCAGUAUAAAAUUAAUGCCACAAAAACAGUAAAAACAAGUACUAGUAGGAAUGAUACUAGUAAGAAAUAAUACAGGUGGAAAAUACAGUAGAAGUAGGUGGCAAUAGAGAACUGGUAAAUGUAAUAAUAAAAUAACAGCAAUAAAACAAACUACCUUUUUCUUUUUUUUCUUUUUAUAGCCGCAACUGCAACAUACGGAAGUUUCCAGGCUAUGGGUCAAAUUGGAGCUGCAGCUGCAGACCUACCUCACAGCCACAGGAAAUUUGGAUCUGAGUGAGCCACACCUGCAACCUACACUGCAGCUUGCAGCAACACUGGAUCCUUAACCCACUGAGCAAGGCCAGGGAUCAAUCCUGCAUCCUCAGAACACUAUGUCAGGUUCUUAACCCACUGAGCCACUGAACCACAACAGGAACUCCUCAACUACCAUUUUCAAACACUUUUUUUUUUUGGCUAGGGGUCUAAUCGGAGCUGUAGCUACUGGCCUAUGCCAAAGCCACAGCAAUGCUGGAUCCAAGCCAUGUCUGGGACCUACACCACAGCUCACAACAACACCAGAUCCUUAACCCACUAAGCAAGGCCAGGGAUCAAACCCAUGUCCUCAAGGAUACUAGUUGGGUUUGUUACUGCUGAGCCACAACAAGAACUCCCAACAAAAGUUAGUACAUUGUUUACCAAGAAAAUGUAGUACAGUUGCCAAAUUCUUAAGGUAGAGCAUAAUGGUUAUAGGACUUAAAUUAGGUGCUCACAUCCACUUAUGUAGUUAACAAGUACUAGAAUCAAUGCCCUACAUGAUCUGCUUUUAAUAAUCAGUCUAGUUAAUCAAGAAGUUCCCUCCACUUACUCUCUAGAGUUAAGGAGUUUUGUGUGUGUGGAAUAAUUAUAACUAAAACAGAAGUAACAAAAAUAUAUGCAUACACCUACAAAGUAUUCUAAUCAGAAUUAAUCUUCAGUCUCUAGUGUCUUAAAUCACAAAGGUUUAUCAGGAAGUUUACACUUUUUCAAAGGUUUAUCAGGAAGUUUUUCACUUUUUGUUGUUGUUGUCUUUUUGCCUUUUCUAGGGCCACUCCCGCGGCACAUGGAGGUUCCCAGGCUAGGGGUCUAAUUGGAGCUAUAGCCACCAGCCUACACCAGAGCCACAGCAACACGGGAUCCGAGCCAUGUCUGCAACCUAUACCACAGCACACAGCAGCACCGGAUCGUUAACCCACUGAGCAAGGCCAGGGAUCGAACCCAAAGCCUCAUGGUUCCUAGUCAGAUUCGUUAACCACUGCACCACGACAGGAACUCCCAUUUUUCAUUUCUUUACCAUUCCAUUACUGUAGUAAAUACUUGCACAAUAAGCCUUCAAUAAUUCAAUAGCAUAUUAGCCAUACUUUAAUAAUAAUAAUAUUCAACUAUAUCCCAAUAAAGCAGGAAAAAAACACACACAUUCACAUGUAACAUAUACAUAAUAAUAAUAAUAAUAUUACAUAAAGUCGUAUCACAUUACAUUAUUAAUGGAUAUCCAUAAUUAAGUCCCUACUACAUGCUGGGCAAACUAUUAGGUCGUUACUAUAUGAUCUCAUUUAGUCUCUGUAGUUCUGGGAGUUUGGUUUUCUUAUCUGCACUUUACAGGAGAGUAAAAUGGCUCAGAAUAAGUUGCCCAUGAGUUCACAGAUACCAAGUAAUGUGCUAGAAAGGGGUCUCUAACCCACUCAGACUACCCCAAACAUAAGAGAAUUUUGCAAAGUAGGAGUCUGCAAAAUUAACGUACAAAAUAAAUAGCCUUGCUACACAAGAAUGAAAAACCAGACAGAAAAUAUUAUGGAAGAAAGACUGUUUAGGAUAAUAAGGAUAUAAAAGAAUAAAUAAGCAAUUAAAUAAAUGAAUGAAUAGAACACCAAGGAGCAACCUUAGUAGCAAAUGUCUGAAAGCUCUGAAAGGAAAAUUGCACAACACUUCUGAAAGACACAGAAGUUAUUUAACGAAUGGUGGUGGGGGGAGCAGGUUCUUGGACAAGAAGACUCAACCUCAUAAAGAUAAUAAUUGUCCCCAUGCUGAUACAUGAAUUUAUCACAAUUCUUAUAAAAGUAACAUCAGUAUUUUUUCCCCUUGAAGUAUUCUAGUUGAUUACAAAGUUAAUUUGGAAUAACAAGUAAGAAAAUUAAGAAAAACUCUGAAGGAAAAAAAAAAGAGCAAUGGUGGGGGUGAGGUGGGAGGCUAACGCUUCAGAUAUUGAAAUAUGUUUUAAAACUUCUAAAAUUAAAAUAAUGCAAU
rnacentral:lncRNA from 1 species